rnacentral:rRNA from 1 species
UACAGAGGUCUCAAGCGUUGUUCGGAUUCAUUGGGCGUAAAGGGUGCGUAGGCGGCGCGGUAAGUCGGGUGUGAAAUCUCGGAGCUUAACUCCGAAACUGCAUUCGAUACUGCCGUGCUUGAGGACUGGAGAGGAGACUGGAAUUUACGGUGUAGCGGUGAAAUGCGUAGAUAUCGUAAGGAAGACCAGUGGCGAAGGCGGGUCUCUGGACAGUUCCUGACGCUCAGGUGCGAAAGCUAGGGGAGCGAACAGG